rnacentral:rRNA from 1 species
UACGGAGGGUGCAAACGUUGCUCGGAAUCAUUGGGCGUAAAGCGCACGUAGGUGGCUUGUUAAGUCGGGUGUGAAAUCCCUGGGCUCAACCCAGGAAGUGCACUCGAAACUGGCGAGCUUGAGUACUGAAGAGGGUCGCGGAAUUCCCGGUGUAGAGGUGAAAUUCGUAGAUAUCGGGAGGAACACCAGUGGCGAAGGCGGCGACCUGGACCGGUUCUGACGCUGAUGCGCGAAAGCGUGGGUAGGCAAACAGGAGUUAGAAACC